GAUAUCUAACCGCAGCCUACAACUACGACAUGACAAGCAUUGUGUAAUUAGCGGAUUGUUACAGUAUUCAUAUCAGUAACUCAAACCUAACCUCCCGUAACUCACUGCUCAACCAAUUCUGUAUUAUUAAGCAAACUCAAAGUAACACUAUAGGGUCAGGAACACUAUGCAGCACUGCCCCAGGAAGCACCUCUAGUGGCCGUCUGAGGAGUGGGCAGUGAGGUGUUCCCUAGGCUGUAAUGUUAACACUGCAUUUUCUCUGCAAAUUCAGUAUUUACUGCAAAAAGCACAAAUCCAGUGAGAUGUUUUUAAUCUGGUGACUAUAGUGUCCCUUUAAUGACCACACUAAGGGAUUUAUGACUUGAAUCAUUUAGGACAAUACAAACAAGCUC